CUCUUAUUCAGAGUGGUGGAGAUACAGAGGGUCUGUGAAGCCACGGCAACCCCGCAUAGACGGAAGGUGCCAGCCUGAGCGAUUAAUUCGAACAAUAAGAG
rnacentral:ncRNA from 23 species